rnacentral:rRNA from 1 species
CGUCUAUAUACGUAUAGCAUAUCAAUAAGCGGAGGAAAAGAAACUAACAAGGAUUCCCUUAGUAACGGCGAGUGAAGCGGGAAGAGCUCAAAUUUGAAAUCUUCAAGGUUCUACCUUGACGAAUUGUAGUUUAUAGAAGUGUUUUCUGUUGGAGUUGGUAAAAGUUCUUUGGAAUAGGACAUCAUAGAGGGUGAGAAUCCCGUAUUUGGUCAUUCCUUCUAGCUUUGUGAUACACUUUCAAAGAGUCGGAUUGUUUGGGAAUGCAGUCCAAAAUGGGUGGUAAAUUUCAUCUAAAGCUAAAUAUUGGCGAGAGACCGAUAGCGAACAAGUACCGUGAGGGAAAGAUGAAAAGAACUUUGAAAAGAGAGUUAAACAGUACGUGAAAUUGUCAAAAGGGAAGCGUUUGACACCAGUGUUGUUUUUUCGAAAAUCAAUUAAGAAUGUUUUGAUUUUGAGUAGUUAUGACUUCAUCAGCUUGCUGCCUUUCUUUCAUGAACUUUCUUAAUGCACUUUUCGGUUAACAAGUCAACAUCAAUUUCUUUUGUUGUAAAAGAGUAUGAGGAAGGUGGCUUUCUUUUCGGAGAAAGUGUUUAUAGCCUUGUACUUCUGCAAUCGGAGAGAUUGAGGUCUGCAGCGUAGAUCCUUCGGGGUUAGAUACACUUGUGCUAAGUUAUAGCCUUUUCAUAGACAACUUGUUGAUUAUGUUCAGUCAUUGUAGCUUACUCGCUUGUGCUAUUUUACCUACGCUUAGGAUGUUGACACACGCGCGUGCUCG